GACGAACGCUGGCGGCGUGCUUAACACAUGCAAGUCGAACGGAAAGGCCCUGCUUUUGUGGGGUGCUCGAGUGGCGAACGGGUGAGUAACACGUGAGUAACCUGCCCUUGACUUUGGGGUAACUUCAGGAAACUGGGGCUAAUACCGGAUAGGAGCUCCUGCUGCAUGGUGGGGGUUGGAAAGUUUCGGCGGUUGGGGAUGGACGCGCGGCUUAUCAGCUUGUUGGUGGGGUAGUGGCUUACCAAGGAUUUGACGGGUAGCCGGACUGAGAGGGUGACCGGCCCCAUAGGCACUGGGAUGCGGCCCAGGGGCCUACGUGGAGCAGGAGUGGAGAAUAGUGCACAAUGGGCGGAAGCCUGAAGCAGCAACGCCGCGUGGGGGAUGACGGCCUUCGGGAUGUAAACCGCUUUCGCCUGUGACGAAGCGUGAGUGACGGUAAUGAGUAAAGAAGCACCGGCUAACUACGU
rnacentral:rRNA from 1 species